GGCUUAUUCUUCUUUUGCAGUUGUAUGCAACGCUUGACUCACUCGCUCUACAAGCAGAUAAUUCGAAAAAGAAACGAGAUGAAGAACGCCCUGGACAAACUGAGUAUGCGAGCAUCGACUUCGCCAAGAUUGGGAAGGCUGACCAAGAGUGAACCAUAUGGACUCAACUGUAGAUGGCGAGUAGUAAGUGUGUUUCGGGUCGAAAGUAUAAUUACGUUUUGCAUGACAUUUAGCAUAACACAAGUAGAAAAUAAUUUGCAUAAGUUUCGGAUAAAAAAUAAUGGCUUUUCGCAUAAAACAGUGGCGAGCAGCCGCCCUUUGUAUUCUAUAUCUCAUGCAGGGUUCGUAGCGGUCUUUGAAAUCUUCGAAAGUCUUUAAAUUUGAAUGUAGGGUCUUUGAAAGGUCUAUGAAUUGUAUGAAAAAGCGAAAAAAGUCUUCCAGUUUGUUAGUGAUGAUUACUACUCUCUCCUCCGCAAAGGCUUUUAAAAGGACUAAUUUAGAAAUAAUUUCGUAAUUGCGCCGGAAGGUUGAAAAAAGUUGAAAGUAACCGCUAAAAUUCGGUGCGCUGCCGCUUGUCAGAGUUUCUCUGGAGGCCGCGCAGAACAUUUGUCAUAACGCGUAGCCGUGGCAAAUUUCGCAACCAUCGACGGUCGAGCACAUCAAGUGUUUAAAUGGCCUGGCACCAGUGUAUUUGCUUCAUGAUUUCAACUUAGUUUAUAUAUUGACACACAUAACAGUUUCAUAAAUGGCUGGAUAUUUUGUUCAUAAAUAGCCUAAUGUACUGUUUAAUAAACCAGCAGGAGUGUUUUAUUAGGUUUAAAGCCACGAGCGCGAAGCGCGAGUGGCUUUAGACCUAAUAAAACACGACCUGCGAGUUUAUUAAACGGCUUCAAACACGACUACAAAUUCAAUAGAUACACUGCCUUAUUAGUAUUCUUUAUAUAAAGAAUACGAAUGAGGACACGACUACAAUAGAUACUGGCUUAUUAGUAUUCUUUAUAUAAAGUAUACUAAUUAUGAGUGUUUUAUCAGGUUUAAAGCCACUGCACGUGACAUAUUAUGGUUGACGUGAUUUGCCAAUAAGCUUAUGAAUUAUUAAUGAGUGUUUGAAUCAUUCUGUAAACUUGUAUGUUUUAUGUAAAUGUCAUGUUUGUAAUUGUUUUUUGUUAUUGAAGCAGGAUUCCAUUUGAAACAGCCAACGGUUGGCCAAAUAUAGUCACAUUAUAAAUUUGAAGCAAAAAAUGUAAGGAUUCUUGAGAUAUAUUGAGGAUUGUCACCGAUAUCGUCAGUUUGUUACAGAUAUCGUCACAUCUCGGGCAGAGGCUUUCUGACGUUUCCUGCGACCGCGCGCCGCAUUUUAGCGGUUACUUUCACCUUUGUUUUACCUUCUAGCGCAACUACGAUUUUUUUCUAAAUUAAUAAUUUAAAAGCCUCUGCGAAGAAGAGAGGUAUUGCUAAAAACGCUUCCAUAGCUAUAAUAAAAUAGAUCGAUUGCAGAAAAAGAAGAUGCAUUUUAGAAUGCGAUUUGACGGGAACAAUUACCGGGUAAAAAUGUUCAUACAAUUGCAAUUUUUCUACAGCUGAUUGAUCAUAAUGGUCUUUGAAACGUCUUUGAAAAUAGGUUGAAAAAGACUGUGAAAGUCUGAAAUUUUUUUAUCUUGGAGACUACGAACCCUGCUCAUAGUAUAAUGUGUUGUAUAACUUUAAGUAGGAGCUAGUUCAACAGUUUACAAGCUAGUUCAACGAUGAAUUAAUGAGUGCAUGAUUUAAUGGUAGUAUAUAGUGGUAGUUUGGCACAAUCCAGUAUCGAUUCAGUAACUGGAUGGCAGUUCUAUGUGUAUUGUAUAACUCAAAGUAUUGUGUAUUGUAUAACUUUUAGUAGGAGCUAGUUCAGAAAUUAGCGAUGAUUUAUUGAGUGCAUGAUGUAGUGGUAGUGGGCAAGACACUUACCACAACGGUCCGAUCCAGUAACGAUCCAGUAACUGGAUGGCAGUUCUAUAUGUAUUGUAUAACUCAAAGUAUUGUGUAUGGUAUGACCAGUAGUGGGAGCUAGUUUAAAAAUUAGUGAUGAUUUAUUGAGUGCAUGAUUUAGUGGUAGUAUAUAGUGCUAGUUUGGCACAAUCCAGCAACGAUUCAGUAACUGGAUGGCAGUUCUAUGUGUAUUGUAUAACUCAAAGUAUUGGGUAUUGUAUAACUUUUAGUAGGAGCUAGUUUAAAAAUUAGCGAUGAUUCAUUGAGUGCAUGAUGUAGUGGUAUUGGGCAAGACACCACAACGGUCCGAUCCAGUAACUGGAUGGCAGUUCUAUAUGUAUUAUAUAACUCAAAGUGUUGUGUAUUGUAUGACCAAUAGCCAGUUUAAAAACUAGUGAUGAUUUAUUGAGUGCAUGAUUCAGUUGGAGCGGGCCAGUUGUAUAUAUACUUCCCAUAUACCAACAAAACUUUACACAUAUAAAAGCGCUUAAAUACGAGCUUCAUUUUUGUCCAAUUGACUUGGGGCAAAUUCUGAAGAGUUUAGGAGAUAUUGAAGUUUUUCUCCGUAACGAAAUAACAGAAUGUUUGGCCAGGGGGGGUGAGUAAAUGCACGACUGUUUUGGUUUGUGUAAUGUUUUUAACAGCAUUAAGACCUAUCGUUGAAAAGAGUGUUUUGUUAAAAUUGCGUGGGUUUGGUAGAUGUCGCCAAUGAGUUUAAUUGGUGAGCAAGUAGCGCACUUAGCAUGACAAAAUUAGCGAUGAUUUAUUGAGUGCAUGAUUUAGUGGGAGUUGGCAAGUAUAACAUACUUACCAUAACAACAGUACCAUCCGGGUACGAUCCAGUGAUUGCAUGGGUGACAGUCCUAUUUAUAUUGUAUAACUCAUAAUAUUGUGUAUUAUAUAACUUUUAGUAAGAACUAGUUCAAAAAUCAACAAUGAUUUAUUGAGUGCAUGAUUUAGUCGCAGUGGGCAAAUAUAGCACACUUAGCAUGGCAAUUAGCCACUUCACAAUCGAGAGAGGACUGGGUCUAGUCGCUUGUUUGGAGGGACAAAAAAUAAACAAUAUGCCUAAUUUGGCAUCUAUAGGAAGUUUUCCUACAUUCCUAAAGUUAUUUGUGCAGCCUGAAACGCAACAAUUAUAAUAAGGCAUCUUUUAAUAUAUAUUUAGCUCGCUCACUAUAACCUGUUGUCCCUCCAAACAUCAACUAGACCCAGUCCUCUGCUCGAUUGGAAAAUGGCUAAUAGCACGAUCCGGUGACUAUUUUAUAAUUACUUAAAAUAUUGUUGUAUUGUAUAACUUUUAGGUGAAACUAGUUGAUGAUUUAUUGAGUGCAUGAUUUAGUGGUAGUGGCUAAAUAGUAACAUGGUAAUAUUAAAAGUAAUAUUUGUAUACAAUCAGUAAUAAUUCAUAAAGGAAAUUAAAAGAAAUCAAUGUUUAAUGAGGUGUUGUAUCUACAUAUACAAAAUUCUCCUGACUUGCAUAAACUUUCUCCUCGAUUUUCUCAGUUAAAAUCACUUCUUUUUUUUAAUAAUUUCCUAAAACACAACUGUUGAAAUCCUUAUAUGUUUCACAAGCUAUGUACAGCAUUCGCGUAUAUACAACCUCUCGAGUUUGUAUAUCUGAUACAACACGGCCGCUCGUGCUGUAUAUAUCACUUAAAGCACGGCUAGGGGCGUUUUAUCAUAUUUAAAAAACCCCGAGCUUUUCAGAUAUGAUAAAACGUGAACUUGGGAGUGCCGUGGUUUGGAAUAAAUUAACUUCAACAUUUUGGGAUCAUUGGCAUCUUGUAAAAGUACUUUAUAAUUAAAAAGUGUGUAAGAUAUGUAGCCAUACUUAUAUAUUUGUCCUGUUCUUUAUAAUACUGUAGAGUGUAGUAGUUUAUGUAUGUAAUCUAGCACGGCUUGGAAAAUCACUUUUUGAAAGUAGUUUUUAAACCGUGGUUAAAUAAAGUUUUCAUCAUUAUUAAAUAUUUUACAGCCAAAAUUUUUCAGGUAAUAUGCAGUUUCUGCGAAAUCAAAUGACCAUCUACGUAUAAUUAUACGUAUAAUUAUAGGAAUAAAAACGUGCAGCACCAUGUCAUGCAGUGUUUCGCUGUUGCUGCAGAUUUGCAUGUCAAGUUUCAAUACAAAGUAUUGAAACCGGAAGAACUUAUAAUACUAUUGUUUGUGGAAACACCACGUAAAUUUAUUUUCACGGAAGAACUUAUUUCAUACUGAAACAAUGCACCAUAUACCACGCCCCUUAUCCACUAAUCCAAAGUACGAACAUUUUUAAGUAACCAAUUUUUGG
rnacentral:lncRNA from 1 species